rnacentral:miRNA from 1 species
AGCUUGCUGCCAUCCAUGUAU